rnacentral:rRNA from 1 species
UACGUAGGGUGCGAGCGUUAAUCGGAAUUACUGGGCGUAAAGCGUGCGCAGGCGGUUCGUUGUGUCUGAUGUGAAAGCCCCGGGCUCAACCUGGGAAUGGCAUUGGAAACUGGCGAGCUAGAGUGUGGCAGAGGGGGGUGGAAUUCCGCGUGUAGCAGUGAAAUGCGUAGAUAUCAGGAGGAAUACCGAUGGCGAAGGCAGGUCUCUGGGCUGACACUGACGCUCAUGCACGAAAGCGUGGGGAGCAAACAGG